GCUUAACACAUGCAAGUCGAACGAUGAACCGGUUUCGGCCGGGGAUUAGUGGCGAACGGGUGAGUAACACGUGGGCAAUCUGCCCUGCACUCUGGGACAAGCCCUGGAAACGGGGUCUAAUACCGGAUAUGACCACCGGCCGCAUGGUCUGGUGGUGGAAAGCUCCGGCGGUGCAGGAUGAGCCCGCGGCCUAUCAGCUUGUUGGUGGGGUGAUGGCCUACCAAGGCGACGACGGGUAGCCGGCCUGAGAGGGCGACCGGCCACACUGGGACUGAGACACGGCCCAGACUCCUACGGGAGGCAGCAGUGGGGAAUAUUGCACAAUGGGCGCAAGCCUGAUGCAGCGACGCCGCGUGAGGGAUGACGGCCUUCGGGUUGUAAACCUCUUUCAGCAGGGAAGAAGCGCGAGUGACGGUACCUGCAGAAGAAGCACCGGCUAACUACGUG
rnacentral:rRNA from 1 species